AAACAAAACAAACAAAUAAAGAAAUAAAUAAUAAAAAAAAAGAAAAUAAAGCGGAAAACAAAAUAAACCAUUCAUAUAAUUUUGCGGUAUUUACGAUGUGAAGAUGCCAACAGCAACAAUGUUGUAUGUAUUGGAUUAAUCGGACACAUAAGAGUAUAAGAUGAUUUUUAUGGCCUUUUUACGACUUAGCGCCGGUUAAUAAAAAAUAAGAAGAAAUAGAAAGAGAAUGUGUUUGAAGUGAUCGUUGAUCGUAUGGAAGGUCCUACAGGAUGUUUGUUAAGAGUAUGUUUUGCACCUUUGAGUUAAUUUUGAGUGGUGGAUUCUUGAUUGUAACUCUCUUCGUUUUAUGAUGAUUUUAAUGAUCUUCCAUUGAUGUAGUUGUUGCUGUUGUCGUAUCCAAUAUGUAUUUUCAGCCAUUCAUUGACU